UCAGGGCUGUCCUCACAUAUAGAUUAAAUGUUAUCUUAGCUUUGCUGAGCGCCUUUAUGGAUGCUUGACUAUCAGAUUAAACUCCGCACAGCGUCCAAUACCACAGACUUCAGCUUCAAAAAUACUGGUGUAUCUGCCCAUUGAUUCGUGGUAUUUCAACCUGGGGCCUACAACCCCCAGCCCACUUCCUUCGUUGGUGAGGGAUCCGUCUGUAUACCACUUUAUUGUUUGUGGUUUCAUAGGGUGUACUUUCCCCAGGGUUGUCCAACUGUUUUUAUUACUGAAAUGAGUGCUGAAGUUCUGAGCGAACCUGUGCUCAGCUGGCAUCUCAUCCCUUUGUUGCAUUAGCAAAGGGAUAUCCCGUUUUAGGUUUUCAGCAUCCUUACUUGUGAGGUUGCAGCCAUUUCCUGCUCCCUCAAUUCUUAUUAGGGUGGCUUUCCUCUUCAUUUCAAUGACGAUAUGAAUCGGCGUCACCUCCAUAAGUACUUCUAGGGCUGCAGUGGGACAGGUACGCAUUGCUCCUGUCAUGCAUACGCAGGUCAUGCAUUUGCAGCUUAUGGAGUUUCACCUUAGUGGUGCUAAGGCGUGCUCUAUCACCCCAGGCCCCUUAAGUUAGUAUGGGUCUGACUACCAUGAGGUACAGCCAUCUUAUUAUGCGUGGAUGGGUUCCCCACGACUUACCAGCAAUGUUUCUACACGUGAAAAGUGCUCUGGUGUACUUAUCAAUUGUGUUAUCGACAUGAGUUUUGAAUCUAAGUUUGGAGUCAAGGGUUAUCCCAAGAUACUUAACUUCUUGGCUGGCCUCUAUGGGACAUUCUGACAGGGUUAUUGCCUUCAUUCUCUGUAGCUUGUACCUAUUUGUGAAAGGAACAAUAACAGUUUUGCUAGGAUUAAGGCUCAGGCAUACUUUCUUGCACCAUUCGCUGGUUAUAUUGAGGCCCAGUUGAAUAAUAUCGCAGAGUGCUUCCUCAUAUUUACCUCUAGCUAUAAUGACAAUAUCGUCAGCAUAGCCUUGGCAAAGUAUACCCCUGCGGGUCAGUCUGUCCAGCAACUCUUUUACCAGCAAGCUCCACAGGAGAGGCGAGAGGACACCCCCUUGGGGGCAACGCCUUGUGGUAGAUACUGUGGACGACUGUCCUCCUAUAGUGGCCAUGGCUCGCCUAGAUGCCAGUAGUGAUUUGAUCCAUCUGCUGAUUGUCGUAUCUAGUCCUCUUCUUGCCAGGGAUGCGUUGACAGCCUCAUGGGAGGCAUUGUCGAAAGCACCCUGUAUGUCUAAGAAGGCACAUAACGCCACUUCCUUAUGAGUCAGUGAAUCCUCAAUAUGGCUUUUCAAGCUCUACAAGCAGAGUGCUUCUAAUGCUGACAUCCACUAGCUUUUCCAACGUUCUUAGCAAAAACGAUGUCAAGCUGAUGGGUCUGAACGACUUCGGAUCUGUGAUGUCUUUCUUUCCAGCUUUCGGAAUGAAGACAACUUUUGCCAAACUCCAGGCAGUAGGUAUGUGUCCCAAAGCUAGGCUGCUGAUCAGUAUUUUCCUGAUCGGCACUGCGAGCUGAUUUAGCGCUCGUUGUAGCAGGAUUGGCUGAAUGCCAUCUGGACCAGGAGAUUUGUAGGGCUGGAAUGUACCAAUUGCCCAUAUUUUGAAUAGGAAGGUGUAUACACACAUAUCGGCUAACCACUGUACCUAUAUGUAUUCAUAAUAUACAAGCACAUUGUAGCACUCCGUUAUUAUGUGUACAUAAACAGUCCAGCCCAAGUGUAUGCGUAAUACGAGCACCCACGUGGGAGCUAACAUAUAUAUAUAAGAUACGCAGAGAAGCGUCGUCUGCAGCGCUGCUCCUCGACCUAGGCUAAGAAAGCUUUGUAAGUAGAUCACGAAGAUAUUCACAAAUUGACUUCGAAUGAAGCGGGACCUUCCUUGCUCCUCAAAUUGAUUAGAAUAAAGAACAUACGGUGCUUGUGAUAAAGACGUAAACAAGUUACCGUUUACUGGUCAUGGAAAAGUACUAGCUCAGCUCGGAGUCUACUUGGGCGUAACUACAAAGACAAAAAUAAAAGUAAAAUCUUCUAAAGAUACCAUCUAUCGUCCGUAGAUGGCAUGCACGAUU
ensembl:ncRNA lncRNA:CR46476 long non-coding RNA:CR46476